CGAGUUGCAGAUAAUCUUUCUAGUUAGGAAGGAGGCCCCUCUCAGAAGUGAGGAUUACUCGUACAAGGAGGAGGCUUUGUACAGGGGAUGUCAGCAUUUUGCUGGGCAUGGAAGAACCAAGAACCUGUCUACAACUGUAUGCCCAUGACACAUUUGUAAACAAGGGACAGCGUUUUACCUGAGCAGAGUUUGGGAAAUGGAAUAUUUAAUUCAGGAUAAUAUAUUGGGUUUUUUUUGUGAAACUUUUUGAUUUUUGUAAAGGAAUGUUAAUUGUCUUAUAAAUACCAACAUUUUCAAAGAAACUUAUUUGAAAUAUAUUUAUUUUAUACAUAAGUCUCAUGCAUUUGGAAAAUACUUUAGGUGAGAUCCAACCUAAAUUCUCUUUAUGAAAAAAAAACUUUUAAAAAUUGUUCAUCAGGAAAACUCGUUAAUUUGAAGAUAAAUUCUCAUGAGCCUUUUAUUUCCCAUGAGAGGAGGCUUUGGUUCCUGACUGAAGGUGUUUAUCAUUACUCCCUGUCAUUUCAGCAUUGUGCUGAGUAGAGCCUUUGUAGGGAAGGGCAAAGAAGGCUAGUGUUUCAACAGUACUAGGCUGCCUUUGGCUCUGUUUACUGUUAUGAGUAGACCCAGAGACUCCUUAUGUGCAGAUGUUGUCAACCAGGAAACAGACAAAUGGUCACGAAACACAAUCAGCUGGGCCUACAGGCUGUGGGCAACUCCUGGGUUCUGAAAUUGAUGACACUCACGUUAAAAUGAGACAAUCAUCUUCAAAAGUCUUCCAGAGGGGGCUUGAGAGUUCAUAGCUGUAAAAAUGCUCAACAGCUUGUCUGUUGUGCCCGCUACAGAAUGAGAUAUGGGUGGAAAUUGAUAGAGGUUAUCCUCAGUGGGAAUCUCUGAGGCUCUUAGAAAAAUAAACAUAUUGAAGGGUAGAGAUGUCUAUAGCAAGUUUCUGCUGUGACAGAAUGCUGGCUUCAUUUAGUGUCUAGAAGCUAGUUUACACAAGUAGAGUCAGUUUGCUACUGUGAAGUCAUGCACUCUUGUUGAAGUUUUUCAAAGCUUCCUUAUCCACCUGACAGCUGCCACCUCCCUGUUGUCUAGAAUUCUCUUCAUGAACCUCUAUGCUAAAGGUCAGUGUCUACAUCAAAGUCUUAUAAACUUUUUCUCAGGGCCUAACUGUUACCCGCUGUGUACCGUCCAAGUCACUUUCUGUACCUUCCUGGUAUCAUUGUCAAAUGGUCUUUUCCCAUAGACUGAUUUCUGGAACUGUUACAAAACUAUGUGUCUAAAUGAAGCUGCCUUCUGCUUCCUUGAGAUUUUUUUUUAAAUAAAUUAUUUAAUAAAUGAUGUUCACUGAAAA
rnacentral:lncRNA from 1 species